rnacentral:lncRNA from 1 species
ACCAGGCAAACUGAGUGGUGCUGAGUCACUGGCCAUAACUAACCAUGACUAAAACCUUCAGGGUGAUAGAUGAAGACCUCACCUCCAGGAUCUUGUAGGAAUGCAUGUGUGCAUGGUGAGACAUUUGCUUAUGGAAACCACAGCAGGGGCUCUAUUGUAACAGUUCAACAAUUAAAGCCCAGCUCCCACAUAGCUGCACUCACUUGUCACCAGGGUGAGUCACUCAGAGGAAAGACAGGCAUCCUGACUGUUACGAACUACUUGACCCUGUGUUCCAGCAACACCCACGACUUAGCUCUGUACCAUCAUGCGUCACUAGAAAGAGUCCUCCGUCGGAUGGCCGAGAGGAUUCGGAGGAUGCUAAGGGCACCUGCAUGCCUUCUCUAA